rnacentral:lncRNA from 1 species
CUCGAGAGCAUGUGGGCUAAAACCUGGGAGAUGCUGGGUACUUGCAUCUCUUACUGAAUAGUCUUUUAUCAGCCUAUUUAGGUUAUCCCAGUUUAACCCUAUAGUUCCUUCCAGCAAUUCAAUGACUCAGAUUAACUAGACACUUGGCCAGUGUCGAGCUCCAGGCUGAAGGUUGGAGAGAGGCUAGUCCCCAGACAAAUGAUGCAUGGAAUUUGUAUCUGUGUGUUGCCAUGCCGACGCCGUGCACAGAUUGCUCAAGAUUCAGCAGGACUUGGCAGGGACCUUUUUGCUUCCCAGAGACUCAAUGACAGUUUCAACAUGGGAGAGUAUGGUGUCAAGAUAACAGUCAUAUCAUCCGUCAUCGCAGAACAUCUACGUGGGCUGCCAAGAAAAUGAGACUCUUUUAUCUCUGGCUUCUCUAAGUGCUUGCGUUUUAGCGAUUGUUUCUCAUAACGUGCUUGAUUGUUUUCUGAAACCUGACCGUCAGCAGCUCCAUUAUGUUGUCACCUCAACCUAAAGUGAAUUGAAGGCUCUCAAGGAAGCAGGGCUGCCUGGAGAAACCAGGGGAAGGCAGCGGAGGGAGUGUCUUCCAGAGGCACUGGGGAAGUGGUGCUUAGAAAGUAACACAACAAUAGAGAGGCUGGAAACGAAACCGCAGGCGGACAGUGAAGAAUCUGCGAGAGGUGCAUUGCACCACACUGCUCCUCUGUGACCUUUUGAUUCAAAAGGUUUGGGGCAUUAGUCAGAUAGGAUGUGAAAUUUUCCAUGGCAUUAGGUAUUCCUUGCACUUAAAAACAUUCUACAUUUGUUAGAAGCAGGAUGAAUGUGACUUUAAAUAGCAAGUAGGCAGCUAACGACUGCAUCUCAAGGCAUGUUUUGAUGGAACAUAGCCAUGACUUGAACUAUAAACAAGAGAAAAUAAGGGCACAAUCCUACUAUUUCAAUGAAAUAACUCACCCUUUUAUUGGGGAUAAUUUACAUAAGCUUUGAGGGAGAUUUAUCUCAUCCAAGCAGAACUGACACAUAGCUAGAUAUAGAAGACGCAAUGUGUACUUCUGAUUUUAAAGAAAGGUAUUGUGAUCCCUGCACACGGCUGUGAAAAUGAGUCUCCUGCAAACAGAGAGUUGUCAGUAAACUCAACACCUGAUGAACACACAUCUGUUCAGGACAAUUAACCUGCCCAGAUCUGAGUUUCUGACUUAACAAAGGGAACCACUGACUGCAAAUGAGAUUUCAGUGCUUCUGAAGAUGUUACUGCUCAUGGACCACAUAGCCACUGUGGCCCAAGGCAGGAAAUAACUGAGUCAUAUCCCUUUCAGUCCUUUUUCCUUAAAAUGCUGAUUUCCACUACACCUCUGCUGCUACAGCAGAACAUGGCCGGCAUGUCAUUUUUAAGAAAGAGCAAGCCUUUAAAGCGUCCAGUCAUGUCCUGGCACCUGCAGAAGAGCUGGCUGGAUAAGAACCUCUGAGUGGAUCUUAAUCUUGGCAAAAGAAAAAAUAAAACUUUGGACAAAAUCA